CUCCAGACUCCUACGGGAGGCAGCAGUGGGGAAUAUUGGGCAAUGGGCGAAAGCCUGACCCAGCAACGCCGCGUGAAGGAAGAAGGCUUUCGGGUUGUAAACUUCUUUUGACAGGGAAGAGCAGAAGACGGUACCUGUCGAAUAAGCCACGGCUAACUACGUGCCAGCAGCCGCGGUAAUACGUAGGUGGCAAGCGUUAUCCGGAUUUACUGGGUGUAAAGGGCGUGUAGGCGGGAAAGCAAGUCAGAUGUGAAAGCCAUGGGCUCAACCUGUGGCCUGCAUUUGAAACUGUUUUUCUUGAGUACUGGAGAGGCAGACGGAAUUCCUAGUGUAGCGGUGAAAUGCGUAGAUAUUAGGAGGAACACCAGUGGCGAAGGCGGUCUGCUGGACAGCAACUGACGCUGAGGCGCGAAAGCGUGGGGAGCAAACAGGAUUAGAUACCCGUGUAA
rnacentral:rRNA from 1 species